UGAGCCUUGGCCCCGUCUUGAAGCCUCUGGGGAGUCUCCAGCUCACAAGGGCAGAGGAGAUGGAGACAGGCCGGUCGACGCGAGGGUGGUGCAGGUGGCCCCUCUGAGGUUUGGCUCUACUUGCUGUUGACUCCUAGCUUAAAGAGAGUUCCCGGGGUGAGUGACGGAGGUGGGAUCGGACCCUGGCAGUCUGACGGCAACACCUGUGUUCCUCUGCACUGGGCCGUGGAUGACAUUACACACCUUGCCACUCCUAUGGCCCUGUGUGUUCCGGAUUUUUUUAAAUAUUGGCUAUAAGGUUGAGCGCGUCAGGAUAUGCUGUUUUGGG
rnacentral:antisense_RNA from 1 species